ensembl:lncRNA
UAUGGGCCCUGGUCAAAUGUAGAAUGAGUUGCCAUUUGGGACACACAACCCCAGUGAAUAUGAGUAGCAUGAGUCCAUGGACAGAAUAUAUUACUAAGGUGUUUGAGACUUGAGACUUGCUGAUCAGCCUGACUAACCCAACACCUUAUUGAGACUUGUAGAUGCCAACACCUUAUUGAGACUUGUUGAUCAGCCUGACUAACCCAACACCUUAUUGAGACUUGUUGAUCAGCCUGACUAACCCAACACCUUAUUGACACUUGUUGAUCAGCCUGACUAACCCAACACCUUAUUGAGACUUGUUGAUGCCAACACCUUAUUGAGACUUGUUGAUCAGCCUGACUAACCCAACACCUUAUUGAGACCUGCUGAUCAGCCUGACUAACCCAACACCUUAUUGAGACUUGUUGAUCCCAACACCUUAUUGAGACUUGUUGAUCAGCCUGACUAACCCAACACCUUAUUGAGACUUGUUGAUCAGCCUGACUAACCCAACACCUUUUUGAGACUUGUUGAUCCCAACACCUUAUUGAGACUUGCUGAUCAGUCUGACUAACCCAAUAGCGUAUGGCUCAAGAGGUUCAAUAAUAUAAUAACACCUACUAACCAACAGAUAAAGUGCCAACAAGGAAAAAGUGGUCUCUGCUGAACGCAGAAGGCUACAGUCAAAUUAUCCUAUAUUUGGCCCAAAUGACACCCUGUUCCCUAUAAAGUGCACUACUUUUGAACUGGUCAUUUAGGGUGCCAUUUGGGAUUUAGCCAGAAGGAUAUAAUAAUGUGUAUUACAUUCAUUUAAAUAAAUUUAACUAAAGACAACAGGUCUCUCCCUAGACCAGUUACUGGUUACAGACAACAUGUCUCUCCCUAGACUAGUUACUGGUUACAGACAACAGGUCUCUCCCUAGACUAGUUAUAGGUUACAGACAACAGACUGCAACGCAGGGCUUGGGUCAAGAGAAGUGUUGUGUAGGAUGCCGUUUGAGGUGUGGCACUAUGGAAAGCAGCGUCUGGGAGGUCAAGGGUCAAAGACCACCCAGGCAGAGGUCAAGGGUGGGUGACCUCACUCUCUUUAACAGUACUCAACAUAGAGGGGGGCGGGAUCUGACUGAUGGGACAGGUUUCAACAGCCGGCGUCUGUGAUUGGACAGCUAUCCAUUCACUCACUCCCUGUGGGGAAUAACAUUGCACUGUCUGUCAAAUAAAUAUUCAACCUAGUCCACCCGGUUCUAUUGGAGAGAAAAGAUCAGAACAUUCCAGUUCCGUUGGAGAGAACAGAUGAGAACAUUCUGGUUACAUUUAACACACCAGAACAUUCUGGUUCUGUUGGAAGGAACACACCAGAACAUUCCGGUUCUGUUGGGGUGAACAAUUCAGAACAUUCC